rnacentral:rRNA from 1 species
UAUAGGAGGUCCAGCCUGCCCAGUGACCACAAGUUUAACGGCCGCGGUAUCCUGACCGUGCAAAGGUAGCGCAAUCACUUGUCUUUUAAAUAGAGACCUGUAUGAACGGCCAAACGAGGGCUUAACUGUCUCCCCUCUCAAGUCAGUGAAAUUGAUCUACCCGUGCAGAAGCGGGUAUAAUAAUACAAGACGAGAAGACCCUUUGGAGCUUAAGGUACAAAACUCAACCCACGUCAAGCGACUUAAUAAAGAACAUGAACUUUGUGGGAUAUGAUAUUUUACCUUCGGUUGGGGCGACCACGGAGGAAAAAUAAGCCUCCAAGUGGAUUGGGAAAACCUCCUAAAACUAAGAGAGACAUCUCUAAGCCACAGAACAUCUGACCAAACAUGAUCCGGCAACAAAGCCGAUCAACGAACCAAGUUACCCUAGGGAUAACAGCGCAAUCCUCUCCCAGAGUCCAUAUCGACGAGGGGGUUUACGACCUCGAUGUUGGAUCAGGACAUCCUAAUGGUGCAGCCGCUAUUAAGGGUUCGUUUGUUCAACGAUUAAAGUCCUACGUGA